rnacentral:rRNA from 1 species
AACACAUGCAAGUCGAACGGUCCUGUCCAUAUAGAUCCCUUCGGGGUGAAAGUAUGGCGUGGAUAGUGGCGGACGGGUGAGUAACGCGUGGGUAACCUGCCCUUAUGACCGGGACAACAGUUGGAAACGACUGCUAAUACCGGAUACUAUGAUUGGAAGGCAUCUUCUGAUCAUUAAACGGAGGCCUCUGAUUCAAGCUCCCGCAUAAGGAUGGACCCGCGUCUGAUUAGCUAGUUGGUAGGGUAAAGGCCUACCAAGGCGACGAUCAGUAGCCGGCCUGAGAGGGUGGCCGGCCACACUGGGACUGAGACACGGCCCAGACUCCUACGGGAGGCAGCAGUGGGGAAUCUUCCGCAAUGGGCGCAAGCCUGACGGAGCAACGCCGCGUGAGUGAAGAAGGCCUUCGGGUCGUAAAGCUCUGUCUUUAGGGAAGAAUAGCUAUAUUGCAAAUAGUGAUAUAGUCUGACGGUACCUGAGGAGGAAGCUCCGGCUAACUACGUGCCAGCAGCCGCGGUAAUACGUAGGGAGCAAGCGUUGUCCGGAAUUACUGGGCGUAAAGGGCGCGUAGGCGGGGAUUUAAGUUAGGUGUGAAAUUCAGGGGCUCAACCCCUGGCCUGCACUUAAAACUGGAUCUCUUGAGGGCAUGAGAGGAAAGUGGAAUUCCUAGUGUAGCGGUGAAAUGCGUAGAUAUUAGGAGGAACAUCAGUGGCGAAGGCGACUUUCUGGCAUGUACCUGACGCUGAGGCGCGAAA